UAAAAGCAAACUAUAUCAGCUUGUGGUUUGUAGUUAUAAAAGGUAUAUCCCAUUACGAUCCCAUUUCCAGUUGACAAAUACUGACUGUAAGAAACAGAAUAACCAAGUAAGAUUAUAAUUCAUAAGGACAAAAAAGCGUGCUUAAUAUUGUGCCAACUUUGGCACCAGCGACAGUUGCUUCAAUGAGUUUACCAUUGCUCAUGUAAGUACACAAGGCAUUCCUAGUGGGAAAAACUGGUUGCAAUGUCACUGAAACACGAUACCUUACCGUGAAAUGCUUACUUACAAGCCCUCAACCAACAAUGCAGUUCAAGAACUAGAGUUAAAGUAUUUACUAAAUAAACUAAAGCAAAAACAAAUAUGUAAAAAGUUUUAACUGGUUGUAAAAGGAUGUUUUCGUCAUUUUAGCUGCAAAGUGAAAAAUAUGUCUUAAAUCAGUUUAAUUUAGCAGACACACUUAUCCAGAGUGACUUACAGUUAGUUAGUGCAUUCUUCUGUCAUAGUGAGGUGGGACAACCACAUCUCUCAGUCAUAGGGAGGUGGGACAACCACAUCGCUCAGUCAUAGGGAGGUGGGACAACCACAUCUCUCAGUCAUAGGGAGGUGGGACAACCACAUCUCUCAGUCAUAGUGAGGUGGGACAACCACAUCGCUCAGUCAUAGGGAGGUGGGACAACCACAUCGCUCAGUCAUAGUGAGGUGGGACAACCACAUCUCUCAGUCAUAGUGAGGUGGGACAACCACAUCGCUCAGUCAUAGUGAGGUGAGACAACCACAUCUCUCAGUCAUAGUGAGGUGGGACAACCACAUCGCUCAGUCAUAGUGAGGUGGGACAACCACAUCUCUCAGUCAUAGUGAGGUGGGACAACCACAUCUCUCAGUCAUAGUGAGGUGGGACAACCACAUCUCUCAGUCAUAGUGAGGUGAGACAACCACAUCUCUCAGUCUUAGUGAGGUGAGACAACCACAUCUCUCAGUCUUAGUGAGGUGGGACAACCACAUCUCUCAGUCUUAGUGAGGUGGGACAACCACAUCUCUCAGUCAUAGUGAGGUGAGACAACCACAUCUCUCAGUCAUAGUGAGGUGGGACAACCACAUCUCUCAGUCUUAGUGAGGUGGGACAACCACAUCUCUCAGUCAUAGUGAGGUGAGACAACCACAUCUCUCUGUCAUAGUGAGGUGGGACAACCACAUCUCUCAGUCAUAGUGAGGUGAGACAACCACAUCUCUCAGUCAUAGUGAGGUGGGACAACCACAUCUCUCAGUCAUAGUGAGGUGGGACAACCACAUCGCUCAGUCAUAGUGAGGUGGGACAACCACAUCUCUCAGUCAUAGUGAGGUGGGACAACCACAUCUCUGUCAUAGUGAGGUGAGACAACCACAUCUCUCUGUCAUAGUGAGGUGGGACAACCACAUCGCUCAGUCAUAGUGAGGUGGGACAACCACAUCUCUCAGUCAUAGUGAGGUGGGACAACCACAUCUCUCAGUCAUAGUGAGGUGGGACAACCACAUCUCUCAGUCAUAGUGAGGUGAGACAACCACAUCUCUCAGUCUUAGUGAGGUGGGACAACCACAUCUCUCAGUCUUAGUGAGGUGGGACAACCACAUCUCUCAGUCAUAGUGAGGUGAGACAACCACAUCUCUCUGUCAUAGUGAGGUGGGACAACCACAUCGCUCAGUCAUAGUGAGGUGGGACAACCACAUCUCUCAGUCAUAGUGAGGUGAGACAACCACAUCUCUCAGUCAUAGUGAGGUGGGACAACCACAUCGCUCAGUCAUAGUGAGGUGGGACAACCACAUCUCUCAGUCAUAGUGAGGUGGGACAACCACAUCUCUGUCAUAGUGAGGUGAGACAACCACAUCUCUCUGUCAUAGUGAGGUGGGACAACCACAUCGCUCAGUCAUAGUGAGGUGGGACAACCACAUCUCUCUGUCAUAGUGAGGUGAGACAACCACAUCGCUCAGUCAUAGUGAGGUGGGACAACCACAUCGCUCAGUCAUAGUGAGGUGGGACAACCACAUCGCUCAGUCAUAGUGAGGUGAGACAACCACAUCGCUCAGUCAUAGUGAGGUGGGACAACCACAUCGCUCAGUCAUAGUGAGGUGGGACAACCACAUCUCUCAGUCAUAGGGAGGUGGGACAACCACAUCGCUCAGUCAUAGUGAGGUGGGACAACCACAUCUCAGUCAUAGUGAGGUGAGACAACCACAUCGCUCAGUCAUAGUGAGGUGGGACAACCACAUCUCUCAGUCAUAGUGAGGUGGGACAACCACAUCGCUCAGUCAUAGUGAGGUGAGACAACCACAAAGAAGUUAGCAGCAAAGUCAGUGCUAGUAGUAAAAUAGUUAUAUUCUGGUUAUCACCAGUCUGACCAGAUAACAACCAGAAUGUUUCCAUGACGUCUUGAUGUCAUGAAGUCUAAGUCUAACUGGUUGUAAUGUGAUAUGACGUCUUGAUGUCAUGAAGUCUAACUAACUGGUUGUAAUGUGAUAUGACGUCUUGAUGUCAUGAAGUCUAAGUCUAACUGGUUGUAAUGUGAUAUGACGUCUUUUCAACCAUAUAAUCAGUUUACAAAUAGCAUACGACGUCACGUGCCAAAUAUUUUCACGUCAACCUAGAGGCUGUGUGUAUAGGAAACAAACAGCAAUCCUUCAUUUCAAUUUGCUACCUUUCUUACCC